UAGUAAACGUUCACUGAACACCGUAUUUUUGCUUAACUUGUUCCAAGGCGGCAUACCUUGCUGCCAAAUCUUGACCAUCAACCUUAGCUCUUUCAGGGUUAUAAUAAUGCACUAAAAAAAAAGUUAACAAGAAGAUAUUAAAAAGCCGUUAGAAAGGAGAAAUUAAAAUUAAUAGUAGCUAAUACAUUCCCUAAGAUAACGUACCAACCAAGUAUCUAUCCAUGAAGUUGUAGCCAGAAAGCUUUUCGCAAGCUCGACGAGCGUCUUGAACGUUUUCAUAAACCACAAAUGCAGUACCUCUUGUUUGAACCGUAUUCCCCAGCCUUAUUUGUCGUACAGGACCAUACCUACCAAAAAGAUCGUACAUCUCUUCUGCUGUAAUUUUAAAAGACAAGUUCUUGAUGAAUAGGAUAGAAUUGACUUCUUGAUUAACUGUAGAUGGAGGCAUUUGUUAUUUUUACGAUCUUAACACUUUUUGUUAAAAAAAUCAAAUUUCGAAAAGAAAUGAUUUGGUUUGCUUUGGAAAGGAUAAAUAUUCCUAAAAGGUUGGUUGGGAUCAGAUGGAAAAUACUCGUUAUCACAGCUUGGAGAUUGAUGUUGUAUAGUCAAUCCUAUACGUGAGUUUAAUUAUAGUAGAAAAGAUUGAGACAUGAAUAUUAAAGGUUACGUUUCGUGGUUUGGACAAGAAGAGGUAUAUGCUGGGAAAUCGAAUGGACCAACAGAUCGUAGACAAAACGGUUCAACCUUUUACCAAAAUUUUCCUCUUCUUUUACCUGGUAACUCCAAAUGUCAAAUGCAAUCCUUAGUUCAUGAGAUCUUUGAUCAGAGUUGAAACUGACAUGGCGGUGAUUUCAAUAGAGAGUCAAUUUAAAGUGAUUUUCAAAUUAUACAUAACUAGUUGAAAAUCAUAAACAUUUUUAUUGGUAUUUUUUGCUUCCUCGUUUGUCUAUCCUACAGGAAAUAGGUUUCAACUUUAAAACUGACAAUUGCAAAGAAUAGUUUGAUAGUAUAGUUGUAUCAUCAAUUUAUAUUUUUCCUUAUUUCUUUACUUUCUUUUAACUUAUACUCUUGUUUGGCAAUGGGACUUUUAUCAAGGAAACAAUUUGGUAUCAUUGAUCUUUUGCCUACAGACCAACUAGUUCAUCAAUUUCUUCUCAAGUUCUUUUGAAAUUUCUUAAAUUUUUUAUUUCCUGAUCCCAGAAAACUACAUCUGCAAAAUUAAUGAUUCAUUUUACGCUUCCAAUGCCAUGCUUUCGUAUAUAAGUGAUAGCAACAGAGACACUAAAGGGAAAGGAUAGCUUUGUUGAAUAUGUGGAUCUUACUGUACUUCAUUUUAUCUAAUUUGAAAGAUUUCUCAUUGCUCUUUGCUU